GGAAAGGCCUGUGACUGAGAAAGCAGGCCUGGCUGCAGAAGAUGCCUCAGAAGAAGUGGGCUGGUAAGGAGAGACCUGGCUACAAACAUUACAAUGCCUCCCCACUCUGUGCAUACCCAUCAACUAUUUCAUCAGGCUGCUGGAGCAGAGGAGAAAAAGAGAUGUUAGAUCACUUCCUGCUGAGACACCAGCUGCCUUUUGUUCUCUCCAGCCUACAUGAAUUGUUUCAAUGCCAUCUGGUCAUGAUAAGAUCUAUAUCUAAAAAGUUGUGCAAUGAGAGAGAAAUUGGAGAAAUGCUAACACAGUGAGCCUCAAAACACCAGCAAGGAUAAAGUAAGGAAUUAGAAGAGAUUUUAAAAACUAUCUGGAAUGGAUUUUACUACUGCUGACAGAUUCAGUACAACGGCAUCUUAUGCAGAAGGUUCUAGAAGAAAUAUCAACUGCUGAUAUUUGGAAGUUAAUCUCUGAAGACCUGCUGGCUUUGAAUUGCCCUAAGAUUAUUAUCCAUUGUGCCAAAAAAUAAAAAGUAUAGUAAAUCUAUAAAGGACUUUUAAGGGAAUCAGAGAACUGGCUUUGUUACAUGCUGAAAAAAGUCACUCUGAAUCAGACAAAGAAAAAAAAAGGUGCAUACUGUCUACAAGAAGAAAAAGAGGAAGAGGGAAUGUCUAUUUCUAUUACUUGAUAUUUUAUUUUAUCAACUCAGUUGUACUUGGGCUACUGUGUAUUUAUUUGCAGAUUUAGUCAAAUUCUGUGGUUGCUUCAUAGUGAGCUUUGUUGAAAUUCUGAAUUUGUUUCUUCAAACAUGAGGAAGGAGGAUAGGAAAUAAGUAGAGACAUGUAUUUGGUUAUUUGUACCAACUUUUGUGCUCAUUUGUGGAACUUCUGCAAAGAUCUAUGGAAAAUUAAAUCACUUUGGAUACACCACUUUUUCUUCUUUAUAAUGCAAAGCAGAAUUUGCUCUUUUUUUCUAAGAUGGUCUAAGCUCAGUUAAUUAAAAGUUUGCAUUAUUGAAACCAAAUUGUGGUAAUAAUGAUUCCCCUGAAGAUAACUUUAUUGUAACAGGCUCCAGUCCUUUUAUAAUGAAAAGAGCCCUGAUGAAUUGCAUCAGAUAUCUAUCUGUUCCUGAGUUUUCUUCCCAUAAUGACCAACUAGAAGCUAUUGUGAAAAUGAAAUUUAGGACAUCACCUCUAUUAAAUCAUCUUGUUUGCAUUCUCUGGCAAUAGGAA